ensembl:lncRNA
CCCGUGCAGUUGCACGUUGUCAGGGUAACACUGGGGGACUCCCGGCCCUCUCUCCGGAACAUUGGACACGUGGCACAGCUGGCAGAGAGGGGCCAGGGCUGAUGCCAAGAGGCUGGCACGGAGCAGUGUGGCACAGGCAUGCCUGCCCGCCUCAUUCUCACAGCCGACGAUGCUGCCAGUGGGACCUCACUCAACGCCUCUCUCUUUCAGCUGAAACGGGACCUCUGACAUUUCUCUGUUUGUCCGCUUCGUUCUUAUCGUCCUUUAUAUAUAAAUAUACUCAUUUGCUCCUUUUCUUGUCUUCAUCACGGAUGAUGGACAUGGGUAUUAACAAUGGGUUUCCUGGGUUUUUUGUUUUCUUUCUUCCCAAACCAUAAUUAUUAUUAUAUUGUUAUUGUUAUUAUUUCACAUAUGAAGGAUGACUGAGAGCUGGAUUCAGAAGUCGUUAGGGUUUGAAAGCUUCAGAAGGAGCUCGCUGGCAUCGGCUGCAGAAGCACUAUUAUGUCUGGAGGCUACAUGGCAGGAGCAGUCUGGCUGAUAAUACUCAGUAAGCCCUAAGAGGGCCCCUUUGUUUCAAAUGAAUCUGCAAAGGAGCAUGGGUAUUACUUCUUAGUCUUUCAGAGAGGGUAAGAGAGAGAAAUAGAGAGAGAGAGAGAGAGAGAGAGGUGAAAAGCGCAUUGCGUUGCAGUCAUUAUAAUUAGCCUUAAAACAUAUCUUUAAAUAUUCGAGAUUCACAUGUGCGCUGUGUUACGGACGAAUCGUGUUUGGGAGGUUCAAAGAAACAAAAGAUGAUUAUGGAUUAUAACCUUUUUGAAUGAGGGUCAAAUAUUGUAUAUAAUAGUCCUUAUGUGAGAACAAGUGAAGACCAGAAUGUGUGUACCCCAGUUCAUGACUUGAGCAGCCAAGCUGAAACCAGUGAAAAAAAAGAUUGUGUUGAAAUGUUAAUAUUUAUGCUCAUGUAACUAGUUUUGCACUUAAACACAAAUUUCAAAUCUACACAGAUGCCAUCUCUCAUGGUAAAACACCAGUGCCAACACACAAGACAGCCACAAACUUCCAGACAGUAGCUGACCAUAGAGAGCCUAGCAUCUGACUCCGAGCCAGGUCAGACCCAGAGUUGGGCCAGCUCCAGAUGACCGCUCCACAGCUCUCCACAUGGACAUGGUGCCUGCUGAAGGGUUAAAGCAGAGAUUAUCACACCAGUGGGUUUAGAAUGUUGUAGAAUGAACGUUCUAAAGAGUAUCUGGGUCCAUUGAAUAUAACAGGGAAUUUUAGAAUCUUACAUUGUUGAUAAACGCAUUCUUUACAAUGUUCAAAACUCCCCUGCUGAAGGGUUCUAAUUAGGGUAGGCGGUGAAACGGUACCAUUCAACACUUGCCAUCACUGAAAUACAAAUCUUUUAUCGUUUGGACUAAAACUGUAUCAAAACAAUUAUAUGCAGCUGAUUACAAAUAUUUUCAUCAUAUUUAAAUAGAGGCCAAGGACAAUUAGUAUUUGUUGGAUAGAAAAAGUUUCAAUAUUAUUUGAUGCUAAGGUUAUAUUAAGGUCACUUAGACUGCUCUUAGAAAUCACAAACUUUCAUUUAUGUUUGCUUUUCUGUAUUGUUUUUAUUUUGUUGUCUGCGGUCAUUUCACAAAUGUGGUUGUUGCAAUAGUGUGCCAAGCAUGGAAAAGAAGAACCUGAAAGGAAUUUCCAAGAACUGCAUCAGAUCUCGUCUGAAGAACUAGCAAGGUCCUUCACUCAGAAUCCAAUCAUGUUAUGCUCAACAUUGCUGCAUCAAAGGGGUCACACAAGAGAGAGAGAGAGAGAGAGAAAGUCAGACAGAAAGUGAGUUCUGUGCUCUUUGUAUUGGUGUAACUUGCACAUGCUGUUUCUUCAAUUCCAAACUGACCGGAUCAAACAGAACCCCAGUGGGCUACUCUCUUCUGGACAAAGGCAGUUCAUGUGUAAGGGUUAGAUGAUUAAAUGGUCGGUCGUAAGAUGUGUGGUUACACACGACCAACCAAUGGUGUUUGAUAAAUGUAGUGGCUUUCCUGUGUUGGCUCUGAUUAAAUACUCACACAGGGAUGUUAAACAGUGGGGCUAAGACUGCUCCAGGUCCAAGUCCAGUCCGAUCCUCGGGGUAGGGGUGGGGGUACAGACCUCUAAUCAACACUCUUUUUGUUGUGAGCUGUAUCUCGAGUGGCCCUUUGCAUGGAGUCACCCACAAAGAGAAUGGCCAACCACUCCUUUCAUGUUCGGAGGGGCAUGUGUGUGAGUGUGUGUGAGAGUGUGUGUGUGUGUGUGUGAGAGAAAGGUUCAGAGUGAACCCCUCAGGCACAGCAGUGCCAGUGGAGACAUAGCCUGUACCCCCCCUGCUGUGGCGUGGCAUCGCACGUGCAGACACACACACACACAUACACACACACACACUAUUCAAAUACUCCCAUCAGCUCUCCUCCACCCCAGCAGUAGACCCCAGCUGGGUAGAGUGGGGUGGACUAUUCUGUCUCCAUGAUCCGGACCAGCAAAAGCGCCAUCCACCUCUGAAAUGUAAUCACAUGUGCCAAACCUGCAGGUGGGUGGCUUCACAUUUUACCUGUCGCGACAUCACACCUGUGUUACCUGUGAUGUGCACCACUGUGCAAUAUCUGUGCGUUUGGCUCUGCCACAGGGGCUGUGAGCACAGGAGUAGAGCACUCAGUUUGGAUCGUUUGGGUCGGGCCAGGGCAGGUCAUGCAAAGGCGAGUAGCUUCUCCAUCAGGCUGGUGAUGAUGAUGAUGAUGUUGUACAGUUGUUUGUAUAGAAAAGGGAUCAGGACCAGGUUAUGUGUUCUCAGUACUCUUGAGUUUACCAGAGGAAAAAAAAAAUAGAGAACGCCCCUGUCCCCACAAAGUCCUCAUCUUCUUAAAAAUAAUAAAAGGAAAUUCACAUUUUCAAGCAAUAUGUUGUGUACAUAUGAUAAAAAAAAACACAUUUCAGAAAGGUAUACCAAGGUGCAAAAUGUUAAUUAUUUAAUAUGUUUUAAUAAUUAGACUGUGGUAUUAAAAGGGCAUGUGUUCAUUUGCAGUGUCUCCAUCCUUUGGUUUUACUUACAUAUUUGCGAUAAUAAACGGAUGUACUGUUUAUCUGAUCUUUUGCCUUCUGUGGUUUUAUUCUGUGUGAAUGGUGUUAAGAUGAAGUUAAUUGGCAAAUACAUUUAGUUUUUCCAGAAAUUAUUUCUAAUAAUAGUAAUAAAAUACUCGGAGCCUGAG